CCUACGGGAGGCAGCAGUGAGGAAUAUUGGUCAAUGGGCGCAAGCCUGAACCAGCCACGUAGCGUGAAGGAUGACUGCCCUCCGGGUUGUAAACUUCUUUUAUAAGGGAGUAAAGUGAGUCACGUGUGCCUUUUUGUAUGUACUUUAUGAAUAAGGAUCGGCUAACUCCGUGCCAGCAGCCGCGGUAAUACGGAGGAUCCGAGCGUUAUCCGGAUUUAUUGGGUUUAAAGGGAGCGUAGAUGGGUUGUUAAGUCAGUUGUGAAAGUUUGGGGCUCAACUGCAAAAUUGCAAUUGAUACUGGCAGGCUUGAGUACAGGUGAGGUAGGCGGAAUUAGUGGUGUAGCGGUGAAAUGCUUAGAUAUCACGAAGAACUCCGAUUGCGAAGGCAGCUUACUAAACUGCAACUGACGUUGAGGCUCGAAAGUGUGGGUAUCAAACAGGAUUAGAUACCCUUGUAGUC
rnacentral:rRNA from 1 species